rnacentral:rRNA from 1 species
UCCUUAACACAUGCAAGUCGAGCGGUAAGGCCCUUCGGGGUACACGAGCGGCGAACGGGUGAGUAACACGUGGGCAACCUGCCCUGCACUCUGGGAUAACCUCGGGAAACCGGGGCUAAUACCGGAUACGACCUUCCCCCGCAUGGGGGUGGGUGGAAAGUUCCGGCGGUGCAGGAUGGGCCCGCGGCCUAUCAGCUUGUUGGUGGGGUAAUGGCCUACCAAGGCGACGACGGGUAGCCGGCCUGAGAGGGCGACCGGCCACACUGGGACUGAGAUACGGCCCAGACUCCUACGGGAGGCAGCAGUGGGGAAUAUUGCGCAAUGGGCGAAAGCCUGACGCAGCGACGCCGCGUGAGGGAUGACGGCCUUCGGGUUGUAAACCUCUUUCAGCGCCGAAGAAGCGAAAGUGACGGUAGGCGCAGAAGAAGCACCGGCUAACUACGUGCCAGCAGCCGCGGUAAUACGUAGGGUGCGAGCGUUGUCCGGAAUUAUUGGGCGUAAAGAGCUCGUAGGCGGUUUGUCGCGUCGACUGUGAAAACCUACAGCUUAACUGUGGGCGUGCAGUCGAUACGGGCAGACUUGAGUUCGGUAGGGGAGACUGGAAUUCCUGGUGUAGCGGUGGAAUGCGCAGAUAUCAGGAGGAACACCGGUGGCGAAGGCGGGUCUCUGGGCCGAUACUGACGCUGAGGAGCGAAAGCGUGGGGAGCGAACAGGAUUAGAUACCCUGGUAGUCCACGCCGUAAACGGUGGGCGCUAGGUGUGGGGGAUUUCCACGUCCUCCGUGCCGUAGCUAACGCAUUAAGCGCCCCGCCUGGGGAGUACGGCCGCAAGGCUAAAACUCAAAGGAAUUGACGGGGGCCCGCACAAGCGGCGGAGCAUGUGGAUUAAUUUCGAUGCAACGCGAAGAACCCUUUACCUUGGUUUGACAUGCACUGAUCGCCUCAGAGAUGGGGGUUUCCGUAAGGUCAGUGUGCAGGUGUUGCAUGGCUGUCGCCAGCUCGCGUCGUGAGAUGUUGGUUAAGUCCCGCAC